CAGUCAGACCAACAUUGAUGCUUCAUGUGUUUGAUUCUAUGCAAACUCAGUGACCUUCCUUGUUACUCAGCUAUAAAAACUUCCCAUCAGGCUGUCAGUGGAGUUCACAGCACGUCAGUUUCAACAUCAACCAUGUUUUCUGUAGCUCUGCUGCUGCUGUUGGCAGCUGGAUGUGUGAAGUGUGAACAGCUGACACAGCCAGCCUCUGUGACUGUGCAGCCAGGUCAACGUCUGACCAUCACCUGUCAGGUCUCUUAUUCUGUUAGCAGCUACUACACAGCUUGGAUUAGACAGCCUGCAGGGAAAGGACUGGAGUGGAUUGGAAUGAAAUAUACUGGAGGCUCUUACUACAAAGAUUCACUAAAGAACAAGUUCAGUAUCGACUUAGACACUUCCAGCAGCACAGUGACCCUAAACGGACAGAAUGUGCAGCCUGAAGACACUGCUGUGUAUUACUGUGCCAGAAGAGACACACUGAGAGACAAUAAUAGGAGAGUCAUACAAAAACUACUUCCUCUAUUUGCCACCACUGGCAACAUUCAGUUGUCUCAGUAUCACUUUUUCUUUACAAUACUGAUCGUGAUUAACUGUCAGUUGUGAAAAUUCUGAGUAGUGAUUGACUGAAUAUUGAAGUCUUAUUUUUUCUUAUUUGUCUGCAACUUAAACAAAUACAGAGAAAUAAGAUGUUUUUAUUUCUUUUUAAGGAAUAAUGAUCUAUGUUUGUGCUUUAGAUGAUCUAAAAAGACUAUUUCCUGUUUCAUACAAUGCUGCAGAUUAAAUUCUCCAUAUUAGUAUGAUGAAACUGUGUCCACAUAUCUUCAUAAGUACAGGCAUGGAGACAAUGUGACACAAAAAAUUGACCUUUGGGUGACAUUUAAACAGAAAAAUCUUCCACUUGAUUUGCAGAUUGUACACCAAAAUGAUUUUAUGAAAAAGAUUUUCUUUUACAUAACCAAAUCCAUAUAAAAUCCU